AUAGGCCGUCGGAUUAAAAUCAUUGCCUCCUUCCCCUAAUCAACACCAAGAACCUUUAGAGCCCUCCUCCGAGUCCCUCCCCAUCUCCAUCAUCGCCGACAACAGAGCCUCCCUCAUGAUCCCCACCCGCCCCAUCGAGUUCAUCCACCAACCCCUCCAUUUUCCGCGAAUUCUUCCCCGCCGGCGCUGGGUUUCAGCCCCACAUCAAGCUCGGCGACGCGUUCUUCGAGAGAGCCGAGCUGAAGAUGGCGAUGGGCCGCCGCGGGAAGGUCGAAUCGGCGAUCGGGGACUUGGAUCGGGCGGUGGAGCUUAGUCCGGAGAACGCUAGGGCUUUUUGCUUGCUUGAAGAGUGCUACGAGGCGAAGAAGAUGGAGGCCGAGGUCAGGAAGGCGUACGAGGACGCGUUGAGGAUCGAGCCCGAAUUGGCCCUGGCUCGGGAGGCUCUGGAUCGGUUGGUGAGCUCUUCUUAGUCAAUCACGCAUGACAAGAACAAUCUAACAGGUAAGCAUGGCAACCAAAAUGGCAAAUGUUGAAAAAGCAGAAGAGCUCCUAGAAAAGCUUCGCAGUGCGUCUUGGGAUGCUGUAGUUCAAGAUAUGGAAGACCUUAAGGAUUUCUCCAAGAAGCAAGGUGCAUCAGAAGCUGAUGACUUGAACCAUUGGGACAUUAGCUUUUGGAGUGAGAGGCUUCGUGAGUCAAAAUAUCAAUGAGGAAGAAUUACGUCCUUAUUUCUCCUUGCCAAAGGUUAUGGAUGGCCUUUUCAACCUUGCCAAGACACUUUUUGGAAUUGAAAUUAAACCGGCUAAUGGUCUGGCUCCAGUGUGGAAUAAGGAUGUUAGAUUCUACUGCGUCAAAGAUUCUUCAGCUAACCCUAUUGCAUACUUCUAUUUUGAUCCUUAUACUCGACCCUCAGAGAAAAGGGGAGGUGCAUGGAUGGAUGAGGUUGUUUCUCGUAGUCGUGUUUUGUCACGGAAUGGUACAUCUGCACGGUUGUCUGUGGCCCACAUGUUCGUAGUCGUGUUUCUCGUAGUCGUGUUUUGUCAAAUUCUGAUGUUUAUAUGUUCGUACUGGAUUUUUGGGUGUGAAUGUGCUUUGAAGUUUGAAUCUUUGGAAGUGAUAUUGGAAUCUUUUUCAUGUUUGGAUUGGAGGAAAA